rnacentral:rRNA from 1 species
CAACUUGAGAGUUUGAUCCUGGCUCAGAACGAACGCUGGCGGCAUGCCUAACACAUGCAAGUUGAACGAGAAAUCACCUUCGGGUGAGAGUAGAGUGGCGCA